GGCCUGGUGGUGUAAUGGUAACACACCUGCUUUCAUUCCCAUAAUACCCCGGCUGGUUCAGUAGGAGCUCCUUGUUCGAUUCAAGGCCAGGCCA